rnacentral:rRNA from 1 species
UACGUAGGUCCCGAGCGUUGUCCGGAUUUAUUGGGCGUAAAGCGAGCGCAGGUGGUUUAUUAAGUCUGGUGUAAAAGGCAGUGGCUCAACGAUUGUAUGCAUUGGGAACUGGUAGACUUGAGUGCAGGAGAGGAGAGUGGAAUUCCAUGUGUAGCGGUGAAAUGCGUAGAUAUAUGGAGGAACACCGGUGGCGAAAGCGGCUCUCUGGCCUGUAACUGACACUGAGGCUCGAAAGCGUGGGGAGCAAACAGG